UACGUAGGUGACUAGCGUUGUCCGGAUUUACUGGGCGUAAAGAGCGCGCAGGCGGUCGUUUAAGUCGAGUGUGAAAGCCCCCGGCUCAACUGGGGAGGGUCAUUCGAUACUGAUCGACUCGAAGGCAGGAGAGGGAAGUGGAAUUCCCGGUGUAGUGGUGAAAUGCGUAGAUAUCGGGAGGAACACCAGUGGCGAAGGCGACUUCCUGGCCUGUUCUUGACGCUGAGGCGCGAAAGCUAGGGGAGCAAACGGG
rnacentral:rRNA from 1 species